rnacentral:rRNA from 1 species
UACGGGGGGGCAAGCGUUGUUCGGAAUUACUGGGCGUAAAGGCGCGUAGGCGGCCUUCUAAGUCAGAUGUGAAAUCCUACGGCUCAACCGUGGAACUGCAUCUGAUACUGGAGGACUUGAGGACGGUAGAGGUCGGUGGAAUCCCCGGUGUACCGGUGAAAUGGGCAGAUAUCGGGGGAACACCGAGUGGCGAAGGCGGCCGACUGGCCGAUCCUGACGCUGACGACCUCGAAAGC